ensembl:lncRNA
UCUCUCUCUCUCUCGCUGAAUGGAAGGAUUCUUAUUUUGCUUUCCUACUGUUAAAUAUUUGGCUUGUUUUUUCUUCCUCUGUGCUCUUAUUACACUCCCAGGCCAGCAGAUGGCGGUAUAAACCUGAUUAUGUCACUCAGUCCUCCUUGUAAAAGCGGAAGAAGAAGAGAAGUUACGAAACCUGAAAGUAAACAGUGACGCGUUAGUGGAUAUUAAUGUUAACGUAACUCAGUUUACACUAAAUAACAGGGAGAAUUAAUAUCCAGUGCUGUUGUGUGCAGAUAUACAGCGUGUUAACAGCAAACUAAUUACAUUUUAAUCGAAAUUCGGAGGAAAAUCAGUCAGGUUUGGUGUACAAACUGAAAAAAAGACGCUUUUUUUAUCGUCGGUUUUGGAAAAAAAAUUGUAUUUAUUAAUUUAUUUUUAUCGUAUCUUUUUUUUUUUGUUUAAAUCAAGCGCAAUCAUGGAGGAGCAUAACAUCGGGCGGAUUUUAGUUCUUCUUGUCUCUCUGGUGGUUUACAUCGUUGCUUUGGCCAUCAACGCCUUGGCUGGAUCGGGAAGAGGUUGGUAACGCAGCAGGCUCCUUCUUACCCCAUCUGUAUUCUGAGAAGCCACGCCCCCUGUGACCGUUUUUGCACAGGACAGGAAACGUGUCCGCUCUGUAUGACACAGAAAUCACUCCCGCGGGUUGGACUUUCUCCAUAUGGGGAAUCAUCUACACCUGGCUUCUGCUGAUGAACGUGUAUCUCUUCAGCUGGGUCUGCAGAUGGACUGCCACCGGAUGGAUGUAUUGCAGUCCUGCUUUUCUUCCUUACGGCUUUUAUCUCUCCUGGACGAUUAACAUGCUCCUGAACAUCACCUGGCUGCUGCUAUGGGACCGAGAGUUGAUGAUUUCAGCACUAGUAUGUUUAGCUCUGAUUGCGUUCACCAGUUACCUCCUGAUCUUCUUCUCCUGUGUCGGUCUGCGAGCUCACGGAGCCUGGCUCAAACAGAACCAUCCCACAGAUCUCCUCUGCAUCUAUGUCCUGGUUCAGAACGGUAUUGCCACUUACGCAACAUGGACGACCGUAGCUACGCUCCUCAACUUGACCGUGGUGUUGGAUAUGACAUCCAUGUCCCCGACGAAUGCGGCCACUGUUUCUCUGUGCAUUCUGCUUUUAGAAGUGGUUGUAUGGUUUGCUGUUGAGAACUUUGUGAUCGAGAAGCACGUGCGCUACAUUCUGACCGUCUACCCCGUCGUCAUCUUCGCGCUGAGUGGAAGCCUGAGCAAACACUACGAUGCAGCAGCUCCAGGCAGAAACGCCGUGUUUUCAGCUGUUCUCCUGGCGCUGGCCUGCGUUUUCUUCACGAUCAGACUUUUUCUGGUGAUUCUGAGGCACCGUACUCGUCCUCUCUUCCAAGAUGGGAAUGCCGAAGGCCUAAUGAAUCCUGACCCCACCCCAGAAGAGUAGCAGCGUGGCUUUACAUUCAGCGGAUGAAACGCCAAAGCCUUUCAAUUCAUUCCGUUCCAAUGUAAAGAAGCGCAGCCUUUAACACUAAUACUUAAUACGCUACGAUGUAUUCGUCAUGCGCGGUAACCGUAUAAACCUGCAACGCCUUUGAUACGUGGCCAAAACGUACAUUCAUACAGUGCCAUGAGAAAAAAGUUUGCUUAGACUGACAUUUUUUGUCAUUUGGUUAGUCGUUGCGAUGAGUAGAAGAGUAACGAAGAGGCCGUGUUUAUAGUCUCGGAUAAUUAAAUGUGAAAUCCAGUAAGCUAAACUAGCGAGUCUAUUCGUGCGAUUAGUGUCAUCACGUGGAUCCACAUCCAUUUUUAUUCACUUGGCAGGACACGCGCGUGUCCAAUCCAAAACUCUAAAUACAGAGCAUGAGGUCUUUGAUUAAGGGUCCGACAAUGGCUCUCCGGCAGUGAGAGGAUUCUCAGUAACCGUAGAAACACGUACAUCGUUCUCUGAGGCCGAACUUUCACUACUUUCUACACUGUUACAUGGGAUCAUGACUGCACUGAUACCAGCUCAUCAUAUUAACUCUAAUCUCUUGAUUAUAAAUCUAAUCUCUUCAAUAUUCAACUGUGUAUUUGUUUACAGAGACUUAAAUAAGGAAUAAAACAUUUCUUGUAUGGGGAGAAAUUUCAAGUUACGGCUCUACAGUUAUAAAGCGCCGACGCUGGAGACUCAUUCCAUAAACGUUAAGUAAAUGUCUCUUUAUAGAAAUCUUCACGUUUUCAACAGUUACACGUUUUUUAAAAUCGAUUUAUCGUUUAUUACGGUAGAAAUGAAAACAUAUUAGAACGUGUUAGAAAAUCAUUCAAAUUAAUCAGCGCUAUCUGAGCAGUCAGAUCUGAGCGUUAUCUCAAAGAGUACUUUGAGAUGAACUUUUGAGGGUUAUUGGUUUGUUUUUUUUUUUUUGUAAUAACAAUACUCACAUUAAUAACGUGUGUUUGGAUGCUUUAAUUAAUAUUUUUGAUCUUGCUUUGAACAAUAUUACUUUAUAAAUGUUAAAUAAAAAAUGAAUACAAACUCUCUGAUGUAUUCUUUUACUCUUAUAUAGAGUAUAUAUCAGAAUUUUUGGCACUUUCAGUCUUAAUAUCUAUCUGUAGGUGUGUGUUUAUCCACUUUCAUGGACUUUCAUGUGGUUUUCCAUUUGUAUCGCAGGUGGAAAACUGAUCUAGCUUGCGACGCUUGCUUCACUUUUCCAGGUUGGUAGGCGUUAGCUUUGAUGGAAUUGGGUUGAAAUGGUAAAACUUAAGGUAUUCAAACAAACAAUAUAUAUAUAUAUAUAUAUAUAU